ensembl:misc_RNA Metazoa_SRP Metazoan signal recognition particle RNA
ACUGGGCAUGGUGGCGCAUGCCUGUAAUCCCAGCUACAUGGGAGGCUGAGGCAGGAGAAUCGCUGGAACCCAGGAGAUGGAGGUUGCAGUGAGCAGAGAUCAUGCCACUGCACUCCAGCCUGGGCAACAGAGUGAGACUCUGUCUCAA